rnacentral:rRNA from 1 species
ACGCUCGACACCUACGGGAGGCAGCAGUUAGGAAUAUUGGGCAAUGGAGGAAACUCUGACCCAGCAACGCCGCGUGAAGGAAGAAGGUUUUCGGAUUGUAAACUUCUGAUCUAGGGGAAGAAGGAAGUGACGGUACCCUAGGAGAAAGCCACGGCUAACUACGUGCCAGCAGCCGUGGUAAUCUGAGCGGGCUGGCAAGGC